rnacentral:rRNA from 1 species
UACGUAGGGACCAAGCGUUGUUCGGAUUUACUGGGCGUAAAGGGCGCGUAGGCGGCGUGACAAGUCACUUGUGAAAUCUCUGAGCUUAACUCAGAACGGCCAAGUGAAACUGUUGUGCUAGAGUGCAGAAGGGGCAAUCGGAAUUCUUGGUGUAGCGGUGAAAUGCGUAGAUAUCAAGAGGAACACCUGAGGUGAAGACGGGUUGCUGGGCUGACACUGACGCUGAGGCGCGAAAGCGUGGGGAGCGAACCGG